GCCUGGGUGGCUCGGUCGGUUAAGCGUCCGACUUUGGCUCAGGUCAUGAUCUCAUGGUCCGUGGGUUCGAGCCCCACAUCAGGCU
rnacentral:tRNA from 1 species